CCUACGGGUGGCAGCAGUGAGGAAUAUUGGUCAAUGGGCUUACGCCUGAACCAGCCAAGUCGCGUGAGGGAAGACUGCCCUAUGGGUUGUAAACCUCUUUUGUCAGGGAGCAAUUGGCGCUACGUGUAGAGUUAUCGAGAGUACCUGAAAAAAAAGCAUCGGCUAACUCCGUGCCAGCAGCCGCGGUAAUACGGAGUAUGCGAGCGUUAGCCGGAUUGCUUGGGUGUAAAGGGUGCGUAGGAGGAAUGCCAAGUCAGCGGUAAAAUCGCGGGGUUCCACCUCGCUCCGCCGUUGAAACUGGCGUUCUUGAGUUGGCGAGAAGUAUGCGGAAUGCGUGGUGUAGCGGUGGAAUGCAUAGAUAUCACGCAGAA
rnacentral:rRNA from 1 species